rnacentral:rRNA from 1 species
AACGUAGGGGGCAAGCGUUGCCCGGAUUCACUGGGCGUAAAGCGCGUGUAGGCGGUCCGUUAAGUCGGAUGUGAAAUCUCUGGGCUCAACCCAGAAAUCGCAUCCGAUACUGGCGGACUUGAGGAUGGUAGAGGUUGGUGGAAUUCCCGGUGUACCGGUGAAAUGGACAGAUAUCGGGAGGAACACCAGUGGCGAAGGCGGCCAACUGGGCCAUUCCUGACGCUGAGGCGCGAAAGCUAGGGGAGCAAACGGG